rnacentral:rRNA from 1 species
AGCGAACGCUGGCGGAAUGCUUAACACAUGCAAGUCGCACGGGGGCUUCGGCCUUAGUGGCGGACGGGUGAGUAACGCGUAGGAAUGUGUCCGAGGGUGGGGGAUAACGUUGGGAAACUGACGCUAAUACCGCAUAUCCCCUGAGGGGGAAAGCAGAGAUGCGCCCACGGAGCAGCCUGCGUCCGAUUAGCUAGUUGGUUAGGUAAAGGCUGACCAAGGCGACGAUCCGUAGCGGGUCUGAGAGGAUGAUCCGCCACACUGGGACUGAGACACGGCCCAGACUCCUACGGGAGGCAGCAGUGGGGAAUAUUGGGCAAUGGACGCAAGUCUGAUCCAGCCAUUCCGCGUGCAGGAUGAAGGCCCUCGGGUUGUAAACUGCUUUUGUACGGAACGAAAAGGUUUCU